GUAGGUGAACCUGCGGAAGGAUCAUUAACGAGUUAGGGUCUUCAGGCCCGACCUCCCAACCCUAUGUUUAUUGGACCUCUGUUGCUUCGGCGGACCCGCCUCACGGCCGCCGGAGGACCGCUGCAAGGCGUCCUCUGGCCCGCGUCCGCCGAUGGCCAACCCUAAACCCUGAAUAAAUCGUGUCGUAUGUCUAAGUCUAUGAUUAAAUUAAAGCAAAAACUUUCAACAACGGAUCUCUUGGUUCUG
rnacentral:misc_RNA from 1 species